rnacentral:lncRNA from 1 species
CCUCUCCCAUUCCACUCUGCCUUGGAGCCAGCCAACUAUGGACUGAAACCUCUGCAAACUAGCCUGGAAGACAGAGCUGCCAGAUGCAUGUUCCAGUGAGGCAGAUGCAUGAGGUUCGGCCAGCACCAGGAGGAGGUGACAGAGGGCAAGAAGGGCUCAGCUCAGUGCCUACCGUCGGCACUCAUCGGUCUUUCUUCACGCGUGGAUGACGGGAAUACAGGACGUGGGUGAGGACAUUCAUUUCAAAGCUCCACUCUGGAUUUGAUGCUUGAGCCUGCCCCUUCCCAGCUGGAUGGCCCUGUACAGAUUGCUGAGCUACUCUGUGCCUCAGUUUCCUAGCUGUGUGUGGGGCUAACUGUGCAAGUGCAAAGGACUUAGAGAAGUGCCUGGCACAUGGAGGCCACUCAGUGCUGUCACCGUGCUUCUGGGGUAAGGGAC